UAGUCCUAGCUGUAAACGUUGAGAACUAGAUGUCGGGGGAUCUGCCCUUCGGUGUCGCAGCUAACGCGUUAAGUUCUCCGCCUGGGGAGUACGCCGGCAACGGUAAAACUCAAAGGAAUUGACGGGGACCCGCACAAGCGGUGGAGCAUGUGGUUUAAUUCGAUGCAACGCGAAGAACCUUACCAGGGCUUAAAUGUAGUCUGACAGCUUUAGAGAUAGAGUUUUCUUCGGACAGAUUACAAGGUGCUGCAUGGUUGUCGUCAGCUCGUGCCGUGAGGUGUCAGGUUAAGUCCUAUAACGAGCGCAACCCCUGUUGUUAGUUGCUAGCGAGUAAUGUCGGGAACUCUAGCAAGACUGCCGGUGCAAACCGCGAGGAAGGUGGGGAUGACGUCAAAUCAUCACGGCCCUUACGUCCUGGGCCACACACGUGCCACAAUGGUAGGUACAGAGAGCAGCCACUGCGCGAGCAGGAGCGAAUCUAUAAAACCUAUACUCAGUUCGGAUCGGAGU
rnacentral:rRNA from 1 species